GGUUGGCUCAGUGGUAGAGUGCUUGCCUUGCAUGCAUGAGGCCCUGGGUUUGAUUCCUCAGUACCA
rnacentral:tRNA from 1 species